rnacentral:rRNA from 1 species
GUGAACGCUGGCGGUAGGCCUAACACAUGCAAGUCGAACGGCAGCACAGUAAGAGCUUGCUCUUACGGGUGGCGAGUGGCGGACGGGUGAGGAAUACAUCGGAAUCUACUUUUUCGUGGGGGAUAACGUAGGGAAACUUACGCUAAUACCGCAUACGACCUACGGGUGAAAGCAGGGGAUCUUCGGACCUUGCGCGAUUGAAUGAGCCGAUGUCGGAUUAGCUAGUUGGCGGGGUAAAGGCCCACCAAGGCGACGAUCCGUAGCUGGUCUGAGAGGAUGAUCAGCCACACUGGAACUGAGCCACGGUCCAGACUCCUACGGGAGGCAGCAGUGGGGAAUAUUGGACAAAGGGCGCAAGCCUGAUCCAGCCAUACCGCGUGGGUGAAGAAGGCCUUCGGGUUGUAAAGCCCUUUUGUUGGGAAAGAAAAGCAGCAGGUUAAUACCCCGCUGUUCUGACGGUACCCAAAGAAUAAGCACCGGCUAACUUCGUG